UACGUAGGGUGCGAGCGUUAAUCGGAAUUCCUGGGCGUAAAGUGUGCGCAGGCGGCCGCGCAAGUCGAGUGUGAAAUCCCCGAGCUUAACUUGGGAAUUGCGCUCGAAACUACGUGGCUGGAGUGUGGCAGAGGAAGGUGGAAUUCCACGUGUAGCGGUGAAAUGCGUAGAGAUGUGGAGGAACACCGAUGGCGAAGGCAGCCUUCUGGGCCAACACUGACGCUCAUGCACGAAAGCGUGGGGAGCAAACAGG
rnacentral:rRNA from 1 species